AUCUACGGCCACAGAACCUAUAAAACGCCCCAUCCCGUCCGCUCUGGGCAGCUUAAGUUGGGUAUCGCUCGGUUAGUACCAAGGUGGGGGACCACUUGGGAAUCCCGGGUGCUGUAGUUU
rfam:Kwoniella mangroviensis CBS 10435 unplaced genomic scaffold supercont2.1, whole genome shotgun sequence.